rnacentral:lncRNA from 1 species
GCACCAAUAGCACAUCCAAAUCCGCCGGAAAAUGAAUUCCCGUUUCACAUCCCUCGUUUUCCGAUCACUCAAAUCCCGUCAAAAUCACCACCACCACCACCACUAUCUCUUACCUCAAUUCUUCUCUUAUUCCAUUGCUACACCAGCAUCCCCACCUCAAUACGCUCAAACCCUCGAGGGACUCCGCCACCGGCUAGCGGCGGAAUCACCGACGCUAUCGGACUUCAUUAGGCUCCAGUCGGAUAAAGAGUACUCGGUUGAGGUAGGCACGAAGAAGAAGCCUCUUCCAAAACCGAA